rnacentral:rRNA from 1 species
CGGAGGGUGCAAGCGUUAUCCGGAUUCACUGGGUUUAAAGGGUGCGUAGGUGGGUUGGUAAGUCAGUGGUGAAAUCCCCGAGCUUAACUUGGGAACUGCCAUUGAUACUAUCAAUCUUGAAUAUCGUGGAGGUUAGCGGAAUAUGUCAUGUAGCGGUGAAAUGCUUAGAUAUGACAUAGAACACCAAUUGCGAAGGCAGCUGGCUACACGAAUAUUGACACUGAGGCACGAAAGCGUGGGGAUCAAACAGGAUUAGAUACCCUGGUAGUCCACGCCCUAAACUAUGGAUACUCGACAUCAGCGAUACACUGUUGGUGUCUGAGCGAAAGCAUUAAGUAUCCCACCUGGGAAGUACGAUCGCAAGAUUG